GAUCAUGGCUCAGAACGAACGCUGGCGGCAGGCUUAACACAUGCAAGUUGAAUGGGAUUUGUGUGGUGCUUGCACCAUAUAAUGAGAGUAGCGCACUGGUGAGUAACACGUGGGAACGUGCCUUUUAGUGGGGGAUAACAUCUGGAAACGGAUGCUAAUACCGCAUACGCCCUGAGGGGGAAAGAUUUAUUGCUAAGAGGCCGGCCCGCGGUAGAUUAGGCAGUUGGUGUGGUAAAGG
rnacentral:rRNA from 1 species